CGUGAUUGGUUCAGAGGUGUGCAUGUGAUCCAACCUAGGCCAAUCAGAAUCUUGCAAGGACUUGCCUGCUGCAGUUGCUUUCUGCCCGGAGCCUGCGUGUCAGGGAGAUGUGAAGUUGGGGUUCCUGGAGCUCAUCCUUUCUGACCGCACAGAAGAAGGCCUUGGGUAGGAGUGACUGGAGCCCACACAUGAGGGUUAUCAUCUGGGAGAAGAAGGAAGAGGAAACUACCAUUCCAGCGCCUUCCCCGCAGCGUUCAGGAAGCUCAGAACAAAUUAGGGGGUGCCCUACCAUUUCACCCACGGAUCACAGAGCCCUCCAGCUUCUGUCGGGACUUGGGGGGUUCAGGUUUCCUGCCAAUUGCACUUUCGGUCACAGAACGGAGAGGAAAUGGAAUCAUUAACGGCAUUGGAAUUUUUCUCCGAAGCCCAUUUGCUUCCUAUCUCCUGGAACAGCUACCCUAGCACACAGGAGCUUCCCUGCCAGGAGAGGAGGAAGCACUGAGAUGGGAGAGGAAGAGUCUAGAAUAAAUGAUAACAGGAAUGCUGCCUAGGGUGUGCCCCCCUGCCCCAGCUCCUCCCAGAAUGAGCCCCCGGGGAUGCCCAUCACGGAACCCCCUGUUGCUGGCAAAGGAAAGCAAGUGGGCUGUUGGUCUCAUCUUCUUAGGAAGCUCCCCGCUCAGCUUCAUCAGUUCGUUGGUACACGAAAGACCUCAGUACUCCAUGGUGUUCGCUCAGAUUGUUCUGGUUUACCACGUUGAUGUAAGGACCUCCCCUCCAAGAUGUCUGCCCCCAGGAAGUGUAUUUCCGGGAAUCCACAAGAAAGGCCUCGUGCAGAUUCUCCAGAAGUCUAUCCUCUUGCCACUUGGAAACAAUCGCCCAUGACCACGGGGGCGUCAGCUCUCGCCCACCAUCUCCACUGGGAAUUACACCCCCACUCUGGCAUCAACUUUCCCUCACCCUUGCACGCUGCUCAUGGGCGCCCAUCAUGAUGACUCCGCGUUCUUGUGGGACCCAGGCAGGGGAGAAAUGCAUGCUUCCUCCACUCUGCGGGCCACUGUGUCAACUGGGCUCCCAAACAGCCCCUGUGAAAACAGCUGCACCACACGACAUGGGCCAGGGGCUGGGCCAGGGAGAGGGAUCAUGCUGUCUUCCUCCACGACCGCUCAGCUCAGCUCCUGGCGUCUAUGCGCAGACCCCUUCCCAACGCGCUCUCCCCCGUACAACGCCCUCUCCCUGGGACGUUGCCAGCCCACCAAAUCAGCAGACGGGGCGAGAGGCUGACCCCCCUUAGCCCAGCCCAAAUCCUUGCUCAAAGUCCACACCACGUUUUGCAGUUCUCUUGGCCAGUGGAUGACAGAAACCGGCAUCGCCCUUGUAUGAUCUCAUAGCCCCUCCAGAGUGCAGCAUUCAUGGGCUCUCAGCGGCAUUGCCUUAGUGAGAGCCAUAAUUUCAUUGGUUUGCAUUCACUCCUGAAGUUCUAAUUUGCCUUUUUCUUUUCAUGUCUUUGAGCUGUUUGAGGGCAGAGCCCAUAUCUUCAACAGUUUUGUACUCUGCCACGGGAUGUGGCCAUUCCCCGGCACGGAGGAGAUACUCCGUGGCCACCAAGGACUGAACCAGGGUCAACAUGGGACACUUGGGGCGAGAUGGAACUUGACCUGGAGGCCCCCCGAGGCCCUUCCCAAGGCUUACUUUUCUACAUUCCGAUUCUGGAGGUCUGGGAGAGGCGCCUAGAAAGGAAUAAAGGUCUAAUAAACACCAUCAUUUGGAA